CACGUAGGGCGCGAGCGUUGUCCGGAAUUAUUGGGCGUAAAGAGCUCGUAGGCGGUGUGUCGCGUCGGCCGUGAAAACCUGCAGCUUAACUGUGGGCUUGCGGUCGAUACGGGCAUCACUGGAGUUCGGCAGGGGAGACUGGAAUUCCUGGUGUAGCGGUGAAAUGCGCAGAUAUCAGGAGGAACACCGGUGGCGAAGGCGGUUCUCUGGGCAUGAUCUGACGCUGAGGAGCGAAAGUGUGGGGAGCGAACAGG
rnacentral:rRNA from 1 species